rnacentral:rRNA from 1 species
UACGGAGGGUGCAAGCGUUAAUCGGAAUUACUGGGCGUAAAGCGUGCGUAGGCGGUUCGUUAAGUCUGUUGUGAAAGCCCCGGGCUCAACCUGGGAAUGGCAAUGGAUACUGGCGAGCUAGAGUGUGUCAGAGGAUGGUGGAAUUCCCGGUGUAGCGGUGAAAUGCGUAGAGAUCGGGAGGAACAUCAGUGGCGAAGGCGGCCAGUCUGGGACAACCACGUGACGCUGAGGCACGAAAGCG